AUUGAACGCUGGCGGCAUGCUUUACACAUGCAAGUCGAACGGUAACAGGCCGCAAGGUGCUGACGAGUGGCGAACGGGUGAGUAAUGCAUCGGAACGUGCCCAGUCGUGGGGGAUAACGCAGCGAAAGCUGUGCUAAUACCGCAUACGAUCUAUGGAUGAAAGCGGGGGACCGUAAGGCCUCGCGCGAUUGGAGCGGCCGAUGUCAGAUUAGGUAGUUGGUGGGGUAAAGGCCCACCAAGCCAACGAUCUGUAGCUGGUCUGAGAGGACGACCAGCCACACUGGGACUGAGGCACGGCCCAGACUCCUACGGGAGGCAGCAGUGGGGAAUUUUGGACAAUGGGCGCAAGCCUGAUCCAGCAAUGCCGCGUGCAGGAAGAAGGCCUUCGGGUUGUAAACUGCUUUUGUACGGAACGAAAAGGUCUGGGUUAAUACCCUGGGCUGAUGACGGUACCGUAAGUAUAAGCACCGGCUAACUACGUGCCAGCCGCCGCAGUAACAC
rnacentral:rRNA from 1 species